rnacentral:rRNA from 1 species
UACGUGGGGUGCAAGCGUUAAUCGGAAUUACUGGGCGUAAAGCGUGCGCAGGCGGUUUUGUAAGUCUGACGUGAAAUCCCCGGGCUCAACCUGGGAAUUGCGUUGGAGACUGCAAGGCUGGAGUCUGGCAGAGGGGGGUAGAAUUCCACGUGUAGCAGUGAAAUGCGUAGAGAUGUGGAGGAACACCGAUGGCGAAGGCAGCCCCCUGGGUCAAGACUGACGCUCAUGCACGAAAGCGCGGGGAGCAAACAGG